rnacentral:rRNA from 1 species
GAUGAACGCUGGCGGCGUGCUUAACACAUGCAAGUCGAACGAAGCAUUCUAACGGAACAUUUUCGGAUGGGAAGUUAAAAUGACUGAGUGGCAGACGGGUGAGUAUCGCGUGGAUAACCUACCAUAUACAGGGGGACAACAGUUGGAAACGACUGCUAAUACCGCAUAAGCGCACAGUGCCGCAUGGCACGGUGUGAAAAACUCCGGUGGUAUAUGAUGGAUCCGCGUCUGAUUAGCUAGUUGGUGAGGUAAUGGCCCACCAAGGCAACGAUCAGUAGCCGACCUGAGAGGGUGACCGGCCACAUUGGGACUGGGACACGGCCCAAACUCCUACGGGAGGCAGCAGUGGGGAAUAUUGCACAAUGGGCGAAAGCCUGAUGCAGCGACGCCGCGUGAGCGAAGAAGUAUUUCGGUAUGUAAAGCUCUAUCAGCAGGGAAGAAAAUGACGGUACCUGACUAAGAAGCCCCGGCUAACUACGUGCCAGCCGCCGCAGUAA